rnacentral:rRNA from 1 species
AGUGAACGCUGGCGGUAGGCCUAACACAUGCAAGUCGAACGGCAGCACAGUAAGAGCUUGCUCUUACGGGUGGCGAGUGGCGGACGGGUGAGGAAUACAUCGGAAUCUACUUUUUCGUGGGGGAUAACGUAGGGAAACUUACGCUAAUACCGCAUACGACCUACGGGUGAAAGCAGGGGAUCUUCGGACCUUGCGCGAUUGAAUGAGCCGAUGUCGGAUUAGCUAGUUGGCGGGGUAAGGGCCCACCAAGGCGACGAUCCUUAGCUGGUCUGAGAGGAUGAUCAGCCCCACUGGAACUGGGACACGCUCCAGCCUCCUACGGGAGGCAGCAGUGGGGAAUAUUGGACAAUGGGCGCAAUCCUGAUCCAGCCAUACCGCGUGGGUGAAGAAGGCCUUCGGGUUGUAAAGCCCUUUUGUUGGGAAAGAAAAGCAGCAGGGUAAUACCCCGCUGUUCUGACGGUACCCAAAGAAUAAGCACCGGCUAACUUCGUG